GUUCCAAUUGAUUGUAUCACCUGCUUCCUACUUCUAGGAUGAACAAUGAAACGAACCUAGAUAAGAGAAAGAUUGUUUAAGUGACAGUUAAUAAAAAUUCUGUUACAUAAAAGUACAUAAUUGAAAAAUGACAGCAAAAGGAUUAAGUAGAAUGCAGUGGAUUUUUAAGAAUUACCAGAACAGAUUUCCACAAACGCUCUUUUGUCUCCA
rnacentral:lncRNA from 1 species